AUUUAAAUAGCUUAAACCAGAGCAGAAUUGUGAAGAGAUUCAGGUGAGAUAAUCUUUAAAUG
rnacentral:tRNA from 1 species